rnacentral:rRNA from 1 species
UACGUAGGGUGCGAGCGUUAAUCGGAAUUACUGGGCGUAAAGCGUGCGCAGGCGGCUUGCCAAGUCAGAUGGGAAAGCCCCGGGCUUAACCUGGGAAUGGCGUUUGAAACUGGCAGGCUAGAGUUUGGCAGAGGGGGGUGGAAUUCCACGUGUAGCAGUGAAAUGCGUAGAGAUGUGGAGGAACACCGAUGGCGAAGGCAGCCCCCUGGGCCAAAACUGACGCUCAGGCACGAAAGCGUGGGGAGCAAACAGG